GCAUGGUAUUAAGGUCAAAUCUACGGAGGUUACAGAUGGGCAUGCGUGCCAUUAGCUAGAUGGUAAGGUAACGGCUUACCAUGGCAAUGAUGGCUAGGGGUUCUGCAAGGAAGGCCCCCCACACUGGUACUGAGACACGGACCAGACUCCUACGGGAGGCAGCAGUGAGGAAUAUUGGUCAAUGGAGGCAACUCUGAACCAGCCAAGCCGCGUGAAGGAAGACUGUCCUAUGGAUUGUAAACUUCUUUUGUGGCAGAAUAAACUACCGUACUUGUACGGUAUUGCAUGUAUGCCAUGAAUAAGCAUCGGCUAACUCCGUGCCAGCAGCCGCGGUAAUACGGAGGAUGCAGGCGUUAUCCGGAUUUAUUAGGUUUAAAGGGUGUUCAGGCUGCCUGGUAAGUCAGGGGUGAAAGUCGGUUGCUCAACGAUCGAAUUGCCUUUGAAACUGUCAGGCUCGAGUAUGGAUGCGGUAGGCGGAAUGUGUAGUGUAGCGGUGAAAUGCAUAGAUAUUACACAGAACACCGAUUGCGAAGGCAGCUUACCAAACCAGCACUGACGCUGAAGCACGAAAGCGUGGGGAGCGAACAGGAUUAGAUACCCUGGUAGUCCACGCCGUAAACUUUGCUCACUCGCUGUUGGCGAUAGACAGUCAGCGG
rnacentral:rRNA from 1 species